CGGGGCGUGGCUCAGCUGGCUAGAGCGCUCGCUUCGGGUGCGAGAGAUCGUGAGUUCAAAUCUCACCGCCCCGA
rfam:Elusimicrobia bacterium GWA2_62_23 gwa2_scaffold_12683, whole genome shotgun sequence.